rnacentral:misc_RNA from 1 species
UUUCCGUAGGUGAACCUGCGGAAGGAUCAUUAUUGUAUAACCGAGGUGCGAGGGCUGUCGCUGACCCGAAAGGUCGUGCACGCCCGAGUGCCCUCACACACAUCCACCUCACCCCUACGUGCACCACCGCGUGGGUCCCCCUUUGGCUUGUUCGGAGGGGGGCUUACGUUUUCACACAAACUUUGUAUGCAGUGUAGAAUGUAUUUUUUGUUUUUGCGAUCACGCAAUCAAUACAACUUUCAACAACGGAUCUCUUGGCUCUC